rnacentral:rRNA from 1 species
GAUGAACGCUAGCGAUAGGCUUAACACAUGCAAGUCGAGGGGCAGCAUGGUCUUAGCUUGCUAAGACUGAUGGCGACCGGCGCACGGGUGCGUAACGCGUAUGCAACUUGCCUCACAGAGGGGGAUAACCCGUCGAAAGACGGACUAAUACCGCGUACACUCCAUCUUGAGCCUCCAAGGUAGAGGAAAUGAAAUUCGCUGUGAGAUAGGCAUGCGUCCCAUUAGCUAGUUGGUGAGGUAACGGCUCACCAAGGCGACGAUGGGUAGGGGAACUGAGAGGUUGAACCCCCACACUGGUACUGAGACACGGACCAGACUCCUACGGGAGGCAGCAGUGAGGAAUAUUGGUCAAUGGGCGAGAGCCUGAACCAGCCAAGUCGCGUGAAGGAUGACUGUCUUAUGGAUUGUAAACUUCUUUUAUACGGGAAUAACAAGAGUCACGUGUGACUCCCUGCAUGUACCGUAUGAAUAAGCAUCGGCUAACUCCGUG